rnacentral:rRNA from 1 species
CCUACGGGAGGCAGCAGUGAGGAAUAUUGGUCAAUGGGCGGAAGCCUGAACCAGCCAAGUAGCGUGCAGGUUGACGGCCCUACGGGUUGUAAACUGCUUUUAUACGGGAAUAACGCCCCUUACGUGUAGGGCGUUGCGUGUACCUGAUGAAUAAGGACCGGCUAAUUCCGUGCCAGCAGCCGCGGUAAUACGGAAGGUCCGGGCGUUAUCCGGAUUUAUUGGGUUUAAAGGGAGCGUAGGCCGCAUGUCAAGCGUGCUGUGAAAUGCCCGGGCUCAACCCGGGCCUUGCAGCGCGAACUGGCGUGCUUGAGUUCGAGGAAAGCAGGCGGAAUUCGUCGUGUAGCGGUGAAAUGCUUAGAUAUGACGAAGAACCCCGAUUGCGAAGGCAGCUUGCUGGCGCGGAACUGACGCUGAUGCUCGAAAGCGCGGGUAUCGAACAGGAUUAGAUACCCGAGUAGUC